rnacentral:siRNA from 1 species
CAAAUCCCUAGCAAAUGUUGCGA